UUCUCCUUAGCUCAGUUGGCUAGAGCGUUCGACUGUUACUUACUCCUACAUAGGGAGCAGAAGACAUCGAGAGGUCCACAGUUCAAGCCUGUGAGGGGAAG